CCUGGUGUGGCGUGAAUCAUCGGACGUAUCAUCAGUGAGACUCCAGCACACGGACAGCCCAUGAUACUCAUUCAGUGAAUCCAUGCUUGGAGCGUGGACGCGUGAUUAGAAUAUAGUUGCAUAUAUAAGGAGGCUUGUUUCUGUAAUAAAUGGCUUUGCGUGAUUCACAUUGAAUCGGAAUACUGAGUCCUUUAUCGCUCCUACAAGUGGUGACCCCGACGUGAUACUCCGAAAGGCGUCUCACUAAGAUCGGGGAAAAGCCUGGAGCGGCCCAGCCAGAGGUGAAUCAGCUGGACUGAGAACCGGGCGGAGGCGUACAGACAUUCUGCAGAUAAAUUAUGUUGAAGAAGGCCCCAGAAAAGAUCAUGUUGAAGAAACCAUCCCAAAGGGACCUGGGAGAUCAUUUCCUGUUUUCAAGAAAUUAAUGAAAGUUGCAGGAGUUCUGUGGAAGAAAUCAAUGUCAACGUGCGAGUACAGACAUGCUCAGAGUAAAAUUCCUUUGAACCUGCCUAUAUUGAAGCUGUCCUUCUCAUAAGCUGAAAUGUUAGCCCUAAAUAACAACCCGGUUUUAGUAAACAGCUGCAGUUAUCCUCCACCAGGGAGUAAAUAUUCAAACGAAGACUGCUCUGGUGAAGAAUAUCUACUUUGACUGAGAAUUAUGUUUGGAGGAGAUAGGGAGAAUGCUAUUUCUGUUUGCUGAAUGUCUUGCUGUGAUCUUCUUCAUUAUUCAGCACCUUCUCAGGUGGAGUUGAGGUUAUUGCUGGAACAAGACUGAUUAAUUCCUGAAGCAACAACACAGUGCAUCACAGCAGUGAAAUCAAUAACUGCAGACUGAAGCUUAGCUGGCAAAUGGGAUUAGGUCUUCUGUUAUGGGGCUGUAGAUCUUCACACCUCUAAGAUGCUCAUUUCUCAGCAUCUUUCUCUUUGAAAACAUAUUCAUUCUGGCAGAGUUAAAUGAAUCCUACUUCUUCUACCAAGAAUAAUUGAGUGCUACAUUCUUCAGCUUAAGCAUGUGGCCCUGGGAUAUUAGUCAAGCAAACAUCUAAUUAUGUUAAUCUAAAAUGUUAAUAGUAAAAUGAGUAAUGAUUGCUUUAAAUGUCAACUAGAACUGAAUGAAAACUUUUUUUGUGGUUAUCAGCUUCCACCUACACAAGGCAAAUAGCAAUAUUUUUAUCUUCUGCUUCAUCAAAUAACUCCAGUUCUUGCUUAAAGGUCAAUUAUUUGAAAUAACAUGAUAGUUUACUUGGAACUAUCACCUCUCAUAUUGCUUUAUUAGAAGCAGUAUACUAUAUUCACUUGGGACUUUGUACCCUUGUAUUAUAUCAUGCUGCCUUCAAUGGUAUCUUUGAAAAAUGGUAAUAGAAUUUUGAGGACAAGGGAGAAAAAAAUGCCUGUCAUUAUUCAGGCUUACCUUCAAGUGGCGCAGUUCCUAUUACAAGUUAGAACAUCCCCAAAGGCAAGCUUUAUCAGUUGCUAGAUAUCUCUCCAGGCUCUUCAAAUAAAUUGCUGAAAUGUGGGAGAGACCUACCUACAUAUUCUUUAACUAUAGUCUCCAAACACGCUGGGGAAAUAUAGGGUAAUGCUUUGCAAAACUCACCAAGAAUGUCAUUAAGAAUAGGAGAUCUUAAAAAAAAUUGCUGUGAGUCUAGGCUGGAAGCUGGCUCAAAAGGAAAGUUGGCAUGAAGAAUGAUACUAGAAAGUGAUAUGUUUAAAAUUGUGUUGGCCUAAUUUGUUUGUUUGUAAUUCUCAAAUCAUCAAAUGAUAAAGCAUAUGUUAAUCAUGGUAAGAACACUUCAAAUCCAUAUUACUUAUCACUUUCUUCUGUGACCUUUAAAAAAAAAAAUGUCCAGCAAUAGAACUACUUUAAGAUCUUGAAAUUUUUUUUCCAAGCUGCUGAGGGAUAGAGUAAGCAAACCUCUAGACUCUUCUAAACCCAAGGAUUUCAGGCUUGCUGAUUUUGUUAUUAUUUUGAUUUUGAUGGUUAUUCCACGACAUCCACAAAGUUAAUAUUGCUAGUGUUGUUUACAUGACAUACAUAGAUACAUGCUGGAGAAAUUAAUUUGGCCCCUUCUGAUGUUUCAUAGCAAUGCGCUACCUAAGGAUGUGGUCAUGUUUUCACCUAGCAUCUUGCUGAACUGUAACUAUCAGCCUGCUAUUUGGUAGAAAUAUAUCAAGUUAAUUUUCAGCACAAGUGUUAAGUAUUGUGAUUUCCAAAUAAGUAUUUCAUAAUGAUUAAUGUCCGUGAGUAAAUGGAUGUAACAGAGGAAUUAUUUAAAGCAGAACAAAAUCACCCACAGAAUUACUUCAUGCAUGCAUCUGCAUAUAGGCAAUUAUCUGUGUUGAGCUCACGAGCCAUGUCAGAAUCCUCAUGGAGAUCUAAUACUGAGAAAAGUUUUAAUACAGGGUUGUAAUAGAGAGUCUCCUCUGGGGCAUGCUGUCAAGCCAAAUUCUUCAGUUUGUCUUUCAGGAAAGCACCACAUAACACAAAAUAAAUAACUCCCUGCCCUCCACCAAAAAAGACAGUGAAAUCUUAUCAUACUGUGGGUAGAGAGGUUUUACACUCUGAAGACUGUGUUAUGCAUGUAACAGUAACAUCUGUAUCUGUAACAUGCAUGUAACAGUAAUGCUAACUGGGGAAGCAGAAGACUAAUAAAUAUAUACCUGUUUAAUAAGCUGGUAGGUAUAUUGAUGGAGUUUCUUGAAUUAAACAGGACAGGAUUUAGAAUCACCAUAGAAGAGUUUAGCAAUCUAAAGUGGCAAUACUAACAUUUUAUGAAAAGUUGAUUCUUAAUGCCUACCUAACUGCAGCCUGCAUGAUUAGCAAGGUUUGGAAGCAGUAUUACAUCUUAGAUUAUUACUCCAGUUUGUAGGAACUAAUACAAUUAACAGUGCCUGAAACUGAUCCAUUAUUUUUCCACUAGAAAAAAACAGAAAAGGAAAUUAUUCUCUAAAACCAAUGAAAAGGAAAUAACUCUUCAAAAUUUGAUGUAAUUCUAAUGUUCUGAAUGUUAAUGUUAACAGAUGUAUGGAUUUAAAAUCAUGUGAAACCAUUCUUUAAAUGAAGAUACUUCAUAUGCAUGUAUGAGAACAGAAUAUGCCUCACAAUUUUAGAUGUGAUAGCUUCCUCUAACUUAAAAAAAAACAAAUAGUCUUUGUGGUGAUAGGUGCUGAUGCACCUCUGCACAUUUUUAAUGAAUACUUCUCUCUGAUUGUUCUUUUCAUGUCUGAAAGAAACCAGUGUCGUGAUUUAGGUCCAUUUCCACAAAACAUGGGACCUUCCGAAGACUGCUGGAGUUAGAUUUGCUAAAUGGGAAAUCAGUUCAAGGAAAAAAAAAAAAGUUUAUAUUUACUGAACUGUUUAUAACAACUUAAGCACAGAUUUUCAUUUUAAUAUUCAGAGUGGUGGUUGGAUUCAUCUGAAGUUGUGCUAUACCAUGGGACUUGAUCAGACCAACUACACCCAUAAAUACUAUUUCUCAUAUAUGCAUGUUUUCACGUACAAAGCUAGAUAAUGAAAGUUGAGACAUAAUGCUUCUUUCAAAGUGUGUGCUAGUUGCUUGGUAAAUUUCUAUUAAUAUUGAACAUAAACCACUAAAUAAAAAAGUACUACAUCUUUA